rnacentral:rRNA from 1 species
GACGAACGCUGGCGGCGUGCCUAACACAUGCAAGUCAACUUGACGGAAGGAGCAAUCUGACCGUAGAGUGGCGCAAGGGUGCGUAACGCGUAAGUAACUUGCCCAAGGUAAGGAAUAACGUCGAGAAAUCGGCGCUAAUACCUCAUAAUGCAGCGGAUCCGCAUGGAUAUGUUGUUAAAGGUUUACCGCCUUGGGAUAGGCUUGCGUCUGAUUAGCUAGUUGGUGUGGUAACGGCACACCAAGGCUACGAUCAGUAACUGGUCUGAGAGGAUGAUCAGUCACACUGGAACUGAGACACGGUCCAGACUCCUACGGGAGGCAGCAGUGAGGAAUAUUGGGCAAUGCUCGAAAGAGUGACCCAGCAACGCCGCGUGGAGGAUGAAGGUAUUCUAUAUCGUAAACUCCUGUGAGAGCAGACGAAAGACAGAUUAUAAUCUGGAUGACUGUAUGCUCAGAGGAAGCCCCGGCUAACUACGUG